rnacentral:rRNA from 1 species
GACGAACGCUGGCGGCGUGCUUAACACAUGCAAGUCGAGCGGUAAGGCCCUUUUUGGGGGUACGACGAGCGGCGAACGGGUGAGUAACACGUGGGUGACCUGCCCUCAGCUCUGGGAUAAGCCUGGGAAACUGGGUCUAAUACUGGAUAUGACCUUUCCUCGCAUGGGGUUGGGUGGAAAGUUUUUCGGCUGGGGAGUGGGCCCGCGGCCUAUCAGCUUGUUGGUGGGGUGAUGGCCUACCAAGGCGACGACGGGUAGCCGGCCUGAGAGGGCGACCGGCCACACCGGGACUGAGACACGGCCCA